CCAAGAGUGAGUUAAGCAAGAUGCGGCAUUUGGAGGCCCAAAAGAAGUUUAAGAUGGGCCUAAGAAACUUGAGGGACUCACAACAAAAGUGCUCUAUGCAUGUGAGCACCCUAACACAUACAUGCAAGGCAAGGGCACAUGUGGGACUCCCCCAUCCGUGAGGAGAGUCCUCAAACAACUCUCCUCCUUUCCCACUCGAUUACUAGAGUCUUUUUCAUACUUAACCGUGUGGCAUAAAGAAGAAGAAAGCUUGAAGAUCACGCAAGAAGAGUCGUAGCUCAAGAAAAACCGGUGGGAAGAGCAACUUGAGAGGAAGAAGAAUACCAACCGAGAGGGAUUCUAAUUCUCUCUUAAUUUUCACAUUUUUUUAUGUCAGUUUCAGGUGGGAUUCAUCCAUGAAAAGUUAGAUUGGAAGUAAAAAAGAGAACUCAAGAUAAAGACAACACCUUUAAGAG
rnacentral:lncRNA from 1 species